CACAUUUCAAGCUGUUAGCAGAUAACAUUUUAAAGAUUUGACACACCAAAAUGCGAAGAAAAUGAAAAUGUAUAUCAGAAUAUAUUUCAGAAAAAAAGUA